AUUGAACGCUGGCGGCAGGCCUAACACAUGCAAGUCGAACGGUAACAGGAAGAAGCUUGCUUCUUUGCUGACGAGUGGCGGACGGGUGAGUAAUGUCUGGGAAACUGCCUGAUGGAGGGGGAUAACUACUGGAAACGGUAGCUAAUACCGCAUAACGUCGCAAGACCAAAGAGGGGGACCUUCGGGCCUCUUGCCAUCGGAUGUGCCCAGAUGGGAUUAGCUAGUAGGUGGGGUAACGGCUCACCUAGGCGACGAUCCCUAGAUGGUCUGAGAGGAUGACCAGCCACACUGGAACUGAGACACGGUCCAGACUCCUACGGGAGGCAGCAGUGGGGAAUAUUGCACAAUGGGCGCAAGCCUGAUGCAGCCAUGCCGCGUGUAUGAAGAAGGCCUUCGGGUUGUAAAGUACUUUCAGCGGGGAGGAAGGGAGUAAAGUUAAUACCUUUACUCAUUGACGUUACCCGCAGAAGAAGCACCGGCUAACUCCGUG
rnacentral:rRNA from 1 species